UCCCUCCCUGGAAGGGGUGAUGUGUCAGCACAGCCCAGAUAAGGACUCUGAGUCUGUGUGAUGAAACUUGUGGAGUGCUCUGACCUUCCAUGGUGACGG